rnacentral:rRNA from 1 species
CGCAGCGAAAGCUGUGGCUAAUACCGCAUACGAUCUAUGGAUGAAAGCGGGGGACCUUAGGGCCUCGCGCGAUUGGAGCGGCCGAUAUCAGAUUAGGUAGUUGGUAGGGUAAAGGCCUACCAAGCCAACGAUCUGUAGCUGGUCUGAGAGGACGACCAGCCACACUGGAACUGAGACACGGGCCAGACUCCUACGGGAGGCAGCAGUGGGGAAUUUUGGACAAUGGGCGAAAGCCUGAUCCAGCCAUUCCGCGUGCAGGAUGAAGGCCCUCGGGUUGUAAACUGCUUUUGUACAGAACGAAAAGGUCUCUAUUAAUACUAGGGGCUCAUGACGGUACUGUAAGAAUAAGCACCGGCUAACUACGUG